rnacentral:rRNA from 1 species
GACAGAGGGUGCAAACGUUGUUCGGAAUCACUGGGCGUAAAGCGUGUGUAGGCGGCUUCUCAAGUCGGGUGUGAAAUCCCAGGGCUUAACCCUGGAAUUGCUUUUGAAACUGCUAAACUAGAAUCCGAGAGAGGUUGGCGGAAUUCCGAGUGUAGAGGUGAAAUUCGCAGAUAUUCGGAGGAACACCAGUGGCGAAGGCGGCCAACUGGAUCGGUAUUGACGCUCAUGUACGAAAGCGUGGGGAUCAAAACAGGAUUAGGAUAACCC